GGAGAAGUGUCCGAGUGGUCGAAGGAGCACGCCUGGAAAGUGUGUAUGCCCCAAAAGGGUAUCGAGGGUUCGAAUCCCUCUUUCUCCG
rnacentral:tRNA from 1 species